rnacentral:rRNA from 1 species
UUCAGACUCGCGGCGAAUAGCUCAGUAACACGUGGCCAAGCUCCCCUUCAGUCAGCGAUACCCUCGGGAAACUGAGGUUAACAGCUGAUACAAAACGCCAGCUGGAAUGCGGCGUUUCAGAAAGACAUCGCUGAAGGAUGCGGCUGCGGCCGAUUAGGUAGACGGUGGGGUAACGGCCCACCGUGCCAGUAAUCGGUACGGGUGAUGAGAGUCAGAGCCCGGAGACGGAAUCUGAGACAAGAUUCCGGGCCCUACGGGGCGCAGCAGGCGCGAAACCUUUACACUGCACGGAAGUGCGAUAGGGGAAUCCCAAGUGCGAGGGCAUAUUAGCCCUCGCUUUUCUCGACUGUAUGGUGGUCAACGAAUAAGAGCUGGGCAAGACCGGUGCCAGCCGCCGCGGUAAUACCGGCAGCUCAAGUGAUGUCCCAUAUUAUUGGGCCUAAAGCGUCCGUAGCUGGCCACCCAAGUCCAUCGGGAAAUCCACCUGCCCAACGGGUGGGCGUCCGGUGGAAACUGGCUGGCUUGGAACCGGAAGGCUCAGAGAGUACGUCCGGGGUAGGAGUGAAAUCCCGUAAUCCCGGACGGACUACCGAUGGCGAAAGCACUCUGAGAAGACGGCUUCGACAGUGGGGGACGAAAGCUAGGGUCUCAAACCGGAUUAGAUACCCCGGUAGUC